GUAGGUGAACCUGCGGAAGGAUCAUUAACACGUAUCCACGUUAAACCCCCCGUGCACGUUGAGGAGGACAGACGUCAGGCACUGAUUCAGUUUAAGUAUGCUUAUGUCUUGAUUCGGAAACGAGUCAAGGCGAAGUAGAUCGGCUGGUGCGCUGAUUCGUUUCUAUCUAAGCUCGCUUUGACCUGCUGCGCGAAAGCGUGGUGGAGAGAUUCGCUUAGUUCGGAGAAACUCGAAGGGCUUCCAGGUUACG
rnacentral:misc_RNA from 1 species